UACCAGCACCCCGAGUGGUCGGGACGAUUAUUGGGCCUAAAGCAUCCGUAGCCGGUCCUGCAAGUCUUCCGUUAAAUCCAGCCGCUCAACGGUUGGGCUGCGGAGGAUACUACGUGGCUAGGAGGCGGGAGAGGCAAGCGGUACUCAGUGGGUAGGGGUAAAAUCCGUUGAUCCAUAGAAGACCACCAGUGGCGAAGGCGGCUUGCCAGAACGCGCUCGACGGUGAGGGAUGAAAGCUGGGGGAGCAAACCGG
rnacentral:rRNA from 1 species